GACGAACGCUGGCGGCGUGCUUAACACAUGCAAGUCGAACGGUGACGAGGAGCUUGCUCCUCCGAUCAGUGGCGAACGGGUGAGUAACACGUGAGCAACCUGCCCCAGACUCUGGGAUAACAGUUGGAAACAGCUGCUAAUACCGGAUACGAGACGGAGAGGCAUCUCCACCGUCUGGAAAGUUUUUCGGUCUGGGAUGGACUCGCGGCCUAUCAGCUAGUUGGUGAGGUAAUGGCUCACCAAGGCGACGACGGGUAGCCGGCCUGAGAGGGCGACCGGCCACACUGGGACUGAGACACGGCCCAGACUCCUACGGGAGGCAGCAGUGGGGAAUAUUGCACAAUGGGCGAAAGCCUGAUGCAGCGACGCCGCGUGAGGGAUGACGGCCUUCGGGUUGUAAACCUCUUUCAGCAGGGAAGAAGCGCAAGUGACGGUACCUGCAGAAGAAGCACCGGCUAACUACGUG
rnacentral:rRNA from 1 species